GGACAGUGACUGACCCUACUGACUGGGGGCCUGUUGAUGUGUGUUUGGUUGGUCUGGUAGAAGAUUUGCUGCUUGUGAUCUGCAAGGUGGUCCUGGGUUAGAUGCGGUGUCUGACUUGCACACCACUCUCCCAAUUCUAUUCUUCUCUUUACUACUUUUCUACUUUCAAUACACUUGCUGCUGCUGCUGUUGACCGCUGGUGGUGCAAUGUGGUUUUUAUUCGCGUUUGUUCUGUGGACUUUGCAUUUGUAUUUUAAUGAACAUGUUUACUGCCUGUUAGACCUCGGAUUGGCAAACCUAAACUCCUUCACUGGCAAAAUGUAGAUGCAAAUUAAAUGCCAAAAUUAACAUUUCAAUAUUUGUUUUGAGUAUUUCGCCAAUAGCUUCGGAACUAGACGGACCUCGUAUAUAAUUUGCUCUUCAAAGAUGCGGUCAGGCGCCCCUCCGUUAUAUAACGUUUUCUGCCCGGUACGAAAUAGACCAACCAAUAGCAACCCUUUAGGCUAUCUAAUGUGAGGUUGGAUAUACGCAACAUGUAGAGGUGUUUCAACAACAAAGAUGGAAGUUAGUGAACUAAAGACUGUAUAUGCUCACUAAAAGAACGAACGACUACUACUGAAAGAUUUUGAGGAAUAUGUAUUUCUGCAUCACCCGUUCCAAUGCUAUGAUUAGUCGAGGCCUAUCCAAUAGCAUAGCAUCGACCCAUUUUAGAUCGCGCCCUUUAGACACGCCCCUUGGAAAUUGAACAACGCACUUCAACGCAGAGGAUCCAGAAGGAUUUCACAACGAGUCCAUUGGAAGAUAUCGAGGAACAUGAACAUCACCAAUGAAGGAGAGUAACGUUUCCACUUGCUAUAGGAAUUUAGUGAAGCACUAAAUAGUUAAUAAUGAUAAUGAUAAAAUGUGGUCACCAUUUAUUUACUUUUUGGGUAAGACUUGCUUUACUAAUAUAACCGCGUUAAAACCGCAUUCAUUUACUUUUCUUGUGUAGUUUCCCACUAUUCAUUAAAUAUUUUAUAGAAGUAAAAAAGUAAUCAAUAGAACUAUACACAUUUGUACAACAAUUAAUCAUUAUACAGGAUUUGAAAAUUAUCUAUUCAAGCUCAUGCUUCAUAAUAUUUCCAAGGAUUGCAGAGUACCAAAUGAUUUAUGAACAGUUGUUUUUGUUCAGGAGCGGAUUGUACUCCCAGAGGCUUCAACAGAGCGGAGCUGGGAGCUGCAGGUGGAUGUUGGCCAGGAGCCGUUCAGUCCUACAGGAACAGACGGUAGAGGUGAUGGAGGUGGUCGUCUGGAGGUCCGUGGCGGUCGUCUGGAGGUGCUCGCCGUGAGGUCCAUGGCGGUCGUCUGGAGGCGCUCGCUGCAGGUGGAGGGAAGGCCGGGAGCCGUGCAGCCCAAAGGAUGCAGAACGAAGGACUGAGGCAGAGGCCAGCCUGGAGGUGGCGGUGGCCUGGAGGUCCUGGAGGCGUCCAACCUGGAAGGGGCGGCAUGGAGGGCCAGGUGGCGGCUCCUCAUCCAAAGGGCCUGGAGGCGGCCAACCUGGAAGGCCUGGAGACGGCCGAGGUCCUGGAGGCAAUGGCGGGCCUGGAGGUGGAGGCCAACCUGGAGGUCCUGGAGUCGGUGGGCCUGGAGGCGGCGGUUGGGACCAACCUGGAGGGCCUGGAGGCGGUGGUUGGGACCAACCUGGAGGUCCCGGCGGUGGCGUCCACCUGGCGGCGGUCAGCCUGGAGGGCCUGGCGGCGGUCAGCCUGGAGGGCCGGCGGCGGCGGCUCCUCAUCCAAAGAAAUGAGGCGACGUUGCGGAGGUCCAGGCGGUUGGCCCGGUGGAGGUCCUGGAGGAGACGGUCCCGGCGGUGGAGGACGGCUGGGGGAUCCGGCGGUGGAGGUCCGAAGGCGGCUCGUGAUUAGACCAACCAGCUCCUCAUCCAUGGAAGCGUCCUCAUGGUGCAGGCGGUCAAACCUCCACCUCUUUGAAGAGACCAAGCAGCUUGAUGACUGACUGGUUCUUUAUACUCAAGACCUCGUCCCGGAGCAGAGGACGGACCUAAGGCCCGCAGCGCAGCCGACUAGAGACUCCAUGUGGAACCGGUUCAAUUAAGUUGACCUCUCCUUCAGGAGACUUAAAGGGAGACCAGAUGUGCGGCAGCUGGGUGUCAUGGUGCAGAGACCCAACGCUGUACUGAACUACACCAGUGUGUCCUACUCCCAUAAACCCUGAGGAUCCCUGGAUGGCUACACCAGCACAUUAAUCCACACCCAACAUCAACACACAGUGCACACUCUAUAGAGCUCGUAAGUCCGCCCCUUGCGGCGGGACCUCGUGAGAUCGUAAGAUAUGACAGAGUUUCAAUGGAGAGAAAGUAAUUAUUUUCUCCAUUUUAUGUUGCACCACAUUUUGGGGGAAGAAUGUUUGAAUCAAUCUUUGUCAUUUAUUUCUGUACUCCAUAUCUGUAAUCCCAGCUGUUGUAUUUUAACACGGUAGCUGGGAACCCUCUUUAUAGGGAGCGACUAGAGGGACGAGGCUGGAAGCAAACCUGAGCCUGGAUCUUAACCUUCUUUCUAAACCUAAUGCCGCAAUUUAACCGCAAAUAAAGUGAGGCCUAAAGUAACUUGACUCUCUUACCUAAACUUGCUUGCCUAAACUCGCUUGUCUAAACUUGCUUGCAUAAAACCUAAACUCGCUUGCAUAAAACCUGAACUUGCUUGGCUAAACUUGCGUCGCUUGCCUAAUACCUGAACUUGCUUGCCUAAACUCGCUUGGCUAAUACCUGAACUCGCUUGCCUAAACUCGCUUGCCUAAACUCGCUUGCCUAAACUCGCUUGCCUAAUACCUAAACUCGCUUAGCUUGACUCGCUUGCCUGUACUCGCUUGGCUAAACUCGCUUGCAUAAAACCUAAACUCGCUUGCAUAAAACCUAAACUCGCUUAACUUGACUCGCUUGCCUGUACUCGCUUGGCUAAACUCGCUUGCCUAAUACCUGAAGUCGCUUGCCUAAUACCUGAAGUCGCUUGCCUGAAGUCGCAUGCCUAAACUCGCUUGCCUAAAACCUAAACUUGCUUGUCCAAACACGUUACACAAAGUUAACCAUCCAUAAUCUUUAACCCAAACCAGACUUGUCCCUGGGUCGCUCCACUUUAAUUUUUCUUUUACGUCAUCUG